rnacentral:rRNA from 1 species
GAUGAACGCUAGCUACAGGCUUACCUCAUGCAAGUCGAGGGGAAACGGGGAGACAGCUUACUGUCUCUGCCGUCAACCGGCGCACGGGUGAGUAACGCGUAUCCAACCUGCCAUCCAGGGGAGGAUAGCCUUUCGAAAGAAAGGAUAAUACUCCAUGACCUCCUCAAAGGACAUCUGACGAGGAGCAAAAAUUAAUCGCUGGGUGAUGGGGAUGCGUCUGAUUAGGCAGUUGGCGGGGUAAAGGCCCACCAAACCGACAAUCAGUAGGGGUUCUGAAAGGAAGGUCCCCCACAUUGAAACUGAGACACGGUCCAAACUCCUACGGGAGGCAGCAGUGAGGAAUAUUGGUCAAUGGACGUAAGUCUGAACCAGCCAAGUAGCGUGCAGGAUGACGGCCCUAUGGGUUGUAAACUGCUUUUAUGCGGGGGUAAAGUGAGUGACGUGUCAUUCAUUGCAAGUACCGCAAGAAUAAGGACCGGCUAAUUCCGUG